rnacentral:rRNA from 1 species
UAGACUGGGACAACUAUUGGAAACGAUAGCUAAUACCGGAUAACAGUAUUUCUCGCAUGAGAGAUAUUUAAAAGUUGGUUAUGCUAACACUAUGAGAUGGCUUUGCGGUGCAUUAGCUAGUUGGUGGGGUAAAGGCCUACCAAGGCGACGAUGCAUAGCCGACCUGAGAGGGUGAUCGGCCACACUGGGACUGAGACACGGCCCAG